GAGGGGCAGCACGGUAGCAAUACUGGUGGCGACCGGCAAACGGGUGCGGAACACGUACAGAACCUACCUUGAUCUGGGGCAUAGCCCGGAGAAAUCCGGAUUAACUCCCCAUAAUAUAAUUGGAUGGCAUCAUUUGGUUAUUAAAAAUUUAUUGGAUCGAGAUGGCUGUGCGUCCCAUUAGCUAGUUGGUAGGGUAACGGCCUACCAAGGCAACGAUGGGUAGCUGGUGUGAGAGCACGACCAGCCACACGGGCACUGAGACACGGGCCCGACUCCUACGGGAGGCAGCAGUGAGGAAUAUUGGUCAAUGGACGCAAGUCUGAACCAGCCAUGCCGCGUGAAGGAUGAAGGCCUUCUGGGUUGUAAACUUCUUUUAUGUGGGAAGAAACCUCUUUUUUCUAAGAGAGUUGACGGUACCAUAGGAAUAAGCACCGGCUAACUCCGUG
rnacentral:rRNA from 1 species